rnacentral:lncRNA from 1 species
UGACACUUCUUGAGGAAUACCAUUCACAGCUGAUCCCAUCUCCAGGCUGUUUGCUGAAAUUGGAAAUGAAACUGUCUCUUCACACUGGGCUUCCUGUACUCCAUGACACUCACAGUUUUGCAUAGACUGGGAAAGUCUCAUCAUCAAGAAUAUGCCACUGCUGCACUCCAACACGUAUCUUCUGUAUCCUGCAGGUAACAAGUCUGGUUUUAAAGCCAGUGGCCAGUGGGAACAAUUGACUGAACACUUCUUCCAAAACUGUGAGUUUAUCUUUAAUGAUUGGAACUGAACUAUCAAUACAUUAUGAGUAUUUUCAACAGCAUGAAUCUGUGCUUGUGUUUUUUGGAAGAUGAUUUUGUUUUUUGGAAGAUGAUUUGUGUUUUUUGGAAGAUGAUUUUGCAAAUUUUCCUAAUUCUGGUAUGAUGCUCUUGCUUUGUUGCUUCUGCUGAAAUGUAAGGUUUCAUCACUGAUGAAAGCACUCUGUUCAUCUCCACGUGCUUAACUGUUGACCACUUUUUUUUUUCUUCAUUGGCCAUCUAAAUCAUAUAAUAUACUUGUCUUUGACCAUAUCCACUUUCAUCCUAAUGCCUGGAAAAUGUCACAACCUCUUCAAAAUGGAACGAAAACUGAAAUGUAGCCUGGUAACAUUAGCUAUAUCAGGAGAUCUCAUGAUGCCAUAUUAACCUCUGAUCUGAUCUGGAACUGAAGGUCAAAAAAGUCAAAUACUUCUUGAAAUGUCAGUAUUUGUAACUUUCCAAUUACACCAAUAGAUGAUCUCUACAAAAUGAAUAGUACCAAAAGAAGCUAUGUUGUCUUGGUUAACAAGAUUAGAUAGGAAACUGGACCUUUAUCUAUCAGUAGAGUUCAAACAAAGAAGGGAUAUUGCUGUAAGCUCAUUUUUAACAUAUGAGAACAUGUUCUCAUUUAACUAAUACAAAUCCAGAACAAUUCUAGGGAUCUUAAAACAUUUCUGCAUUUUUAAUAAUGCAGCUAGGUUUAAAAUCCAUUUAUGUGUUAGGUCAUUCACUCCACUAAUGAAAGACCAGAAAGAGAAUCAAAUAAGGCAAAAUAAGAUUAUUUAUUUUAAGGUCAUAGUUAUCAGGUAUGCCUGUAUACACACAGUCUAUACAGUUCUAUCUUGAACCAGUGUGGUUGUUUUUAUGACAGAAAAAAACAAUCAUAUACCUGUUUUGAGAACUAUAAACCCCUAUUGGAAAUGCAAGUGGACUUCACAGAAGGGCUUUCUUUGUUCUAUGUUCCUCUUCUGUACAAUGACAACUUGAAGUCUU